rnacentral:rRNA from 1 species
CGAACGCUGGCGGCGUGCUUAACACAUGCAAGUCGAACGGAAAGGCCCUGCUUUUGUGGGGUGCUCGAGUGGCGAACGGGUGAGUAACACGUGAGUAACCUGCCCUUGACUUUGGGAUAACUUCAGGAAACUGGGGCUAAUACCGGAUAGGAGCUCCUGCUGCAUGGUGGGGGUUGGAAAGUUUCGGCGGUUGGGGAUGGACUCGCGGCUUAUCAGCUUGUUGGUGGGGUAGUGGCUUACCAAGGCUUUGACGGGUAGCCGGCCUGAGAGGGUGACCGGCCACAUUGGGACUGAGAUACGGCCCAGACUCCUACGGGAGGCAGCAGUGGGGAAUAUUGCACAAUGGGCGGAAGCCUGAUGCAGCAACGCCGCGUGCGGGAUGACGGCCUUCGGGUUGUAAGCCGCUUUCGCCUGUGACGAAGCGUGAGUGACGGUAAUGGGUAAAGAAGCACCGGCUAACUACGUG